rnacentral:rRNA from 1 species
UUGGUGUGAAUUGCAGAAUCCCGUGAACCAUCGAGUUUUUGAACGCAAGUUGCGCCCGAAGCCCCAUCAGGCCGAGGGCACGCCUGCCUGGGUGUCACAA